rnacentral:rRNA from 1 species
CGGGAAACUGAGAAUAAUACCGGAUAGUCCACCACGCCUGGAACGGUGGGUGGAUCAAAGGUCACGGCACAGGAUGGGUCUGCGGCGUAUCAGGUUGUAGGGGGUGUAAAGGACCCCCUAGCCAUUGACGCGUACGGGUUGUGGGAGCAAUCGCCCGGAGAUGGAUUCUGAGACACGAAUCCAGACCCUACGGGGUGCAGCAGGCGCGAAAACUUCACACUGCAGGAAACUGUGAUGAGGGAACUCCAAGUGCAUGCACAAUGUGCAUGCUUUUCCUUACUUUUAAUCGGUUUGGGAAUAAGGGCUGGGAAAGACCGGUGCCAGCCGCCGCGGUAAUACCGGCAGCUCAAGUGGUCGUCGCUUUUAUUGGGCCUAAAACGUCCGUAGCCUGUUUGGUAAAUCUGUGGGUAAAUCAACCAGCUCAACUGGUUGAAUUCUGCAGAGACUGCCAGACUAGGGACCGGGAGAGGUGUGGGGUACUCUCGCGGUAGGGGUUAAAUCCUGUCAUCCUGCGAGGACCAC